CAUGCUUUGUAUACUUUUGCAGAACGCGCAAAGUGUGACAUUGUUUGGUGGUUUGAGUAAAACUGGCUGUUGCAUGAUGGCUUGUUUCCCUGCAAACAAAAGGUCAAGCAUAUCAGUAACAAAAGGUAAUUUUACUUACUUCAUGGGUGCGGAAGACUGUGGUAAAAGAAUUUAGCUCCAUCCACCGCAAAAGCAAUUCUUCACUUCUUCUAUAUUUAACUAUAGAAUAGGGUUGAGGGAUUACCUGCAACCAAAAUGCUGAGACAGGAACGUCAUAAGUCCUUAGUUCAUCCCAAAUGUGACGUACAGCAUCUGUGCCACCCUGCAUUCCAACUAUAGCACCUGAUAUUAUCCACUCUGGAAGCUCAGGUAGCCUUCCAAUGCUUUCUGUGGAACGUUCAAUCAGUUCACAAGGUGAGUUCCCAUGCAAUAUCCGCCCUUCAACUGAAUUUCCAUGUAUCUGCAAGCUCCAGUGUACAAAAAAUUUGAAUCUAUACGCUUUAAUUAUAUAUAUAUCUGUAAAAAAAAAGAUUUAACAUUCAAGUCAUGAAUUCAUUACAUUAUAAUAAUUCAGAAUAUUCUUGUUGGA